rnacentral:rRNA from 1 species
CUACGUGCCAGCAGCCGCGGUAAUACGGAAGGUCCAGGCGUUAUCCGGAUUUAUUGGGUUUAAAGGGAGUGUAGGCGGUCUGUUAAGCGUGUUGUGAAAUUUAGGUGCUCAACAUCUACCUUGCAGCGCGAACUGGCGGACUUGAGUGCACGCAACGUAUGCGGAAUUCAUGGUGUAGCGGUGAAAUGCUUAGAUAUCAUGACGAACUCCGAUUGCGAAGGCAGCGUACGGGAGUGUUACUGACGCUUAAGCUCGAAGGUGCGGGUAUCGAACAGGAUUAGAUACCCUGGUAGUCCGCACGGUAAACGAUGGAUGCCCGCUGUUAGCGCCUGGCGUUAGCGGCUAAGCGAAAGCAUUAAGCAUCCCACCUGGGGAGUACGCCGGCAACGGUGAAACUCAAAGGAAUUGACGGGGGCCCGCACAAGCGGAGGAACAUGUGGUUUAAUUCGAUGAUACGCGAGGAACCUUACCCGGGCUUGAAC